CGUUCCCAUGGCUUCUGGAGUCUUCUAGAUGAUAGAAAAUUGCCGCACACGUUAAUAUCUCUAUGUAAACCCGACUUGUGGGCCUUUCCUCCAUGUUUCCUGAUAACCCCCUGCAUAAAUAGACAAAUACCAAAACUCGUGGAAUUCUGUCAGAUAAAACCCUAAGUCUGGGUGUUGGUUGCAUUUGGAUCUUUUUCUUUGUUUAUUUGAUAAUUAAAUUUGGUACUUAAGGACCGUCAACAACUCCCCCAAGCUUAGUUCUUGCUCGUCCCUGAGCAAGGAUGGACUCAAGAGUUUCUGCAGUGUUUUCAUGCCUUAAAGGUACACAUGCGUUCAAACAAGAUCUCAUCUCUGGGUUAGGGUAAACUGUUAUGAUUUAAACUUACUCAUAUUACCUUCCACCAUGGGGCUUGUAACUGUCACUUGUGUCUUGAGUAGUUAAAGGAUAGAACGGUCAAGUCAGGCGCCAUGUAUCUUGUUCUUGAUCAACUAUAGCUCUGGAGUUUUUUUUGCAGAUUUUCAAAAAAAACUUAGAGAUUCCUUUAUGACUCUCUCUAGUCUCUCUUUUGUGGUAUUUCUGGAUCUUUACCAAGGCAGUAAUGGUGUAUGCCUUCUCUCAAAGUAUGUGGUAUUUUUGGUAUGAGGCAUAGUGACAUUGCCUGCUCUCUCACCCUACUCUAAUAAGGUUUUGAUAUUUGGAGCUCAUGUGUGGGAGACAGCUAAUACAUACUAAAAAGACACUUAUUGCAUAGUCAAACCAUGGAUCCAGAAGAACAAGUCAAUAAGUCAAAUCAAGAUGUGCAUGUGUGGAGAAUGAAUGGUGAUAAUGGUGAAAAUAAUGGUGAAAGUCUAAUUCUACUUUUGCUCUUUUGAGGGGGUACAUAGCUUCCUUGCACUUGAGGCUUUUGAGGGGAAUGAGAUGCUCUAUAUUUUAUUUUUCUUUUCUCUCAGGUGGGUAUCUUGUACCCCUAAUUCUACUGUCGGACACUUGUCCAUUUUUACCUCUCAUCUCAAUUUUUCUUUUUUUCGAGGUUUCAGGCACUUGCCCCUUUUUAUUUCCUCAUAUUCAUAUAUUUUUUUAGAGCACUCAUCCUCCUAGAAUAAUAUAGCAAGCGGUAGUAACAAAGAUAACUCGAGCAUUUAUUUCACAGGGAAUAAUAGGGAUAGGAAAAAGUUUUUGGCUAUUCUCUCCCGGAUAGGAGUAGAAUAAUUUUAGGUGAAUCUAGAGAUGGAAUUGAGUGGAUGUAUGUGGAUGCGUACUUCCGGAGUAGAAGUAGCAUGUAUGAGUGAACGUGUAAGUGAAUCUUGAUUUUAACCGCAUGACAAGCUCCUAAGGGUCUACAUUGCUUGACCACACUCAAUACUCAUAAGCAGUAAAAAGUAAAUGUAUGGUUCAUAGUCUAAUAAGCAUGUAUAUAUGGUUGUGGUAGAAUUUUAAACUCUCAUCAUAGAGGAACUGAUCAUGCAACAUUUUAAAGAUUUUCAAAGAUAAAAUUCUCCAGAAUUCUAGCAUCUCUAGGAAAAGAUAAACAGCAGAUCAACCUUCCCAUAUCGUAUCCGUUAAUGACUUAGACUUUAGAUCAAGUACUCUUCCCACAAGUUUAGGUUUAGAGCAAAUCUUAAUUCAUAACAGUCAUGCCUAAACUUGAGAGAGAUUUCAAUUUUGAGAACUAGUCAUGGCAG
rnacentral:lncRNA from 1 species